UACGUAGGGUGCAAGCGUUGUCCGGAAUUAUUGGGCGUAAAGAGCUCGUAGGCGGUCUGUCGCGUCGGAUGUGAAAAUCCAGGGCUCAACCCUGGACCUGCAUUCGAUACGGGCAGACUAGAGUUCGAUAGGGGAGACUGGAAUUCCUGGUGUAGCGGUGAAAUGCGCAGAUAUCAGGAGGAACACCGGUGGCGAAGGCGGGUCUCUGGGCCGAAACUGACGCUGAGGAGCGAAAGCGUGGGGAGCAAACAGG
rnacentral:rRNA from 1 species